AAUUAUAGAUGAACGACGACGUCUGAUUGAAUUAAAACGAAUAAAUCACGAGGAGAGUCUCCGACGGAAACCACCGCCACUUUUCACCGGUAAUUGCUUUCUAAAUCCUUAAAUGCCUCGAUAUAAAGAUGAGCCUCCAGCUGUUCGCGUUUACACUGUCUGCGAUGAAUCCAGAUAUUUAAUUGUACGGAACGUUCCGGCGUUAGGAUGCGGUGAUGAGUUGCUAAGAUUAUUUUCAACCUAUGGAGACGUAGAAGAGUGUAAACCAAUGGAUGCAGAGGACUGUGAGAAAUUUACUGACGUUUACUGGAUCAAAUUUCGUUCGGUCAGCAAUGCUAGGUUCGCAAAGAGAAAAUUGGAUGAGUACGUUUUCCUUGGCAACCGGUUGAAUGUUUCCUAUGCACCGCAUUUCGAGACCCUCUCCGACACCAAGGAAAAACUAGAAUCUAGGAGGAAGGAAGUCUUGGCUAGAUCAAACUCUGGAAGAUCCAAAGAUUCUGUUGUUGGAAAGUCUGGUUCUUUGGCUGAGGCUUCUUUCGAAGCAAGCCCUUCACUGGCAGGCCUUCCCCAACAAGUAAACACUGGUAAAAGGAAUAGUGGAGAACGAGAACUUAUGUCCCACCUUCGUCAUGCUCCAAUGACAAGAGUUUCCUCUGACAAGGAGUACUUCCCGUCUCAAUCAAUGAAUCAGACUGUUAAGUCCGUAAGGGAGAAGCUCAAUAAGACUCAAUCAAGUGGUGAGCAUAUACAACAUGGUUCUGCAUCCAAGAAACCCCGUUUCGAUGAUAGAAGAAGAAGAAUCUGACACCAACAUCUAAAAAUUUUGGUUGAAUCUCUUAUAUCACCUUAAUUUUGAUAAGAUGCGGAACUAUAUCGUGCGGCAUCUGCAAGGAAAACAUUCUCAAGACGAAAGUACUCUUCAACUGUUGUCUCGAGAAUACGUGGAUUUUUGGUGUUUUACAAGUCAAUGGCGUGUGAAAAUUGAUGGCUCAAAAUUCAUAUGAUUUAGACUUUGACGGUCAAAUUUUCAAAUUGGAUGCCUCUCUGGCUUAUUUUGCCCUUAAAUCACUCUUUUUUUGAUAUCAUCUGCCCAUGGACAUGCCAUUUUGGAUUUCAUGACAUGUAAAAGAAACCGCCCUUCUAUGGUGCCUUCACUUCGGCUGUGUCGGUUGACAAGUUUAUCGUAAUUUUACUAACUUCAAUAUUCAAAGUUCCGCAAAUAUACUGCUCAAAUGUACAAAUUAUUGCAUUC